GCUUGGCCUCCCCGGCGGGGGCUUCUCCCCAGUGGAGGUGGCGCCCCACGGUGGACCUCUUCUGAGACCCACACCCUCCUGCCCAGGCUGCCCGUUCCCUUCGCCUCAGUCCACUUAGUAAACUGUGGUGUGGGGCAAGAUCUGGGCGCCCCAGGGACUCCGCUGCCCUCCACACGCACCCCUGCUUCCCCGGUCCCGGUCCCGGAUUAGCCCAGUCGAUAGCUGCGUACCAAGGACCCAAGCCCGCAGACCGCGCUCGGUAAUGCGAGCAGUGAGUGAUAUUUUAUUUAGGUACCGCGGGCUGUGUGUGGCAGGGACGAUUACACAAGCUACAGUCAUCGAUUUCCACUGAAGAUCCUGCUGUCUCCUCCAGCUGAAUUAUGUUGGCGGCUUUUUCUUUUCUUUUCUAACAGCCCAUCCUCAAACAGCGAGGAGGUGAAAGCCAAGUUUCCUUUCUCCAUGUAACUUCCAGCGAUUUCUCAAAAAUUGACCUUUGUUCUCUCCUGCCCAACUUUAGCCUGGCAUCUUGCCCUGCAGGAAACCCCCGGGAGACCCUUGGGUCAGAGAUCAAUCCGCUGUAUUGAUUUCCGCAAGACUUUUCAGUAAAAACCCCCCGAGCUGUUGGGUCUUGUAGUGCAACCCAAAUUGAUACCCUUCAUAAAUCUGCAUGGCUGUUCCAGAGCCAUUGCCUUCAUAUACUCACAUAACCUGUUCACGGUUGUAAAGGAAGUGCAAUUUUAAAGAAAUGAUUAUUUAUACUCUCUGGUGUCCAGUCUUGAGGGGUUCAGGAGACAUUCAGACAGCUCUCAGGAGAACAUAGACCUUGCAAAAGUACACGGAAUUCAUCAGUGACAUGGACAUACGGGUCACGUGACAUUCCAUGUGGUGUGAGCAUUUCCGAGCUUUUCAUCGAAGAGGAUGGGUAAGGUUUUCAGGUAAACGUGCAUAAAGACUUCGGAAAGGAGGUGCACAUGCGGUUUGACCAAGUUCGGUGGAGUGUCCGAGUUACCUCGUGGGUAAGCAGUGUGAGCGGAAGUCACAGCGCAAGGUGCCUGUCCCCUUCUUGUCCUUAGGAAUGGUUUUAGAGUUCUUGAUCCCCAUCAGGACCGUGAUAUUGCCUUUGGGAAACUGGUUUCUGCAGACAGGUGUUCCGAAUGAACUGUUUGGGAGGGCUCUCAGCUUGGUCUACUGUGGUUCAGCCGUGAAGCACUUCCCCAAGGAAGGGUCCCUUCCGUGGUACAGAGGAGGGGGCCAGGGAGAGGGAGGUGCAUCCUCUUCCUCCUGGCCCUCUUCCUUCCCUUUCCUCUCCUCUGCCCUCCUCCUCUUCCUCCUCUUCCUCCUCGCAGCCCCUGAAAGCACCUGCAUUGUCAGCUGUAGUCGCUUGGCCCACUGUGGAUAGCAGAAGCCUGCGGUCUUAGAAGGCCUCGCUCCUUGGAAAGAACACCUGAGUGUGUGUGACUGACAAGAAGACCUCUGGAUGUUCCUAGCUGCUCCUGCGUUUAGUCCAUCAGGCUGCACUUGUCCUGUUAUCAUGAAGGUGGCCUUGAGCUCGUGGACCCCCGAAGGGGUCACACCCCAUUUCUAGAACUACUGUUUUCUGGUCACGUUCACCAGUGUCCCUGGGUCCCACAUAUCAGGCACUGUCCACGACUGGGAAGAAGAGGAUAAAUGAGAUCCAGCCCUCUCUUGGAUACACAGACUAGAUCAGAAACAUCCUUCCUCCAUGUCUACCCCAGCUGCCGCCUGACUUUUCGAAAGGAUGCUGGCUCCUGCAGCCCUGAUGCAUCUCUGCCUUCUGAAACUGCACCUUCUGCCGGCCAGCAACUUGGACACAUGCACAGUCCCGUGUCCCAUGUAAAUUGUAAACCUUUCUUGGUCCAGCCUCUCUGCGGUUACAGCCUCUCUCUCCCGCUAUGGUGAACUUCUGGAAAGUUUGACGUGCAGUCUACAUUCCUAUCAACUUCCUCCUCCUUCACCCACCCAGCCCGCACCCUGCAAACCUCCACUCAGAGCCAGACCACCGCACAGGUGUUUCUGUCCCUCCUCUUCCAUGGCCCUUGGGCAGCUUUGCACACUGGGGACCGCGUGCCUUGGGGCUUUCUGGCAGCCCCUGCAGGAGCCUGCCUGAGACUCUUCCCUAAGUUUCCCAUGUAUUCCUGGAGUCUUUUACAAUGUGAAAGGCUACUUUUUUAUCGUGUUUAUUGAAAAGUUUCAGAAGCUUCCAGCAGCUUUAGUUCUCAGAUUGGGGUCUCUAAAUAUUACUUCCCACUAGAGAGAAGCAGGGCUGGUUGGAGAAGUCUGGUUGCACACAUGGAAGCGGAUGACCUGGAACAUGGCCUCAUGCUGGAUUGCAAGGAUGAGCACAGAGCCUUCUGAGGCCCUGGGACAAGCCGAGGCAGAACUGGGCGCAGCUUCGAGGCCACUCAAAGCAGUAACUGCUGUGGCUCAGAAACAGUUCAAUUACGUUGAAAUCUAUUUGUUCAUAAUGUUCUUUUCUAAAAUACAUCGAUUACCCUUGAAUAGUGCUAAGGAGCCCAACUUAUUGUUUUUAAAAGCUGGCAAAGAAAAGAAAUGAAGGGAUCAUUUAUUAUCUUGACUUUCUGGUACAAACUUUCCCCAAACUAUAAGCAGAUAACCAAUGAUGGCAAGUUUCUCUCCCUAGAUGUAAGGCAGCUAAAUAGGUGAAGCAGGGGUGUUAGGGUUAGAAUAGCACAGUUUUGCCAGCUCUUGUGAUUCAGUGGAUUUUGGCAAUGAAUGUACAUGGUAAAGAGAGAGAGGGAGAGAAAGAGGAAGGGGGAGAGGAAGAGAGAGAGAGAGAGAGAGAAACAAACCCACCCCAGAUGGAAGCCCACCAUGCUGCCUGUAGCGUCUCCUUCCCCAAUCAAACCUGACUCUGGCCAAGCCUGCACAUCACAGGAUAAUCCUGGGGCCCAAAUCUGGCCUAUAUUUGAACAAAUGCAAGUUCUGUGGACCGACAGCCACAUUCAUCUGCUCAAGGAGCUGUAACAGAGGCCGUGUCCACAGGCUUGGAACUUACCGUCCAGUCCCCUUUGGUGACAGAUGGCGUGGGCCCCGUCAGCCCAUCACAGGGCCUGGACCUUACUCGGAUUCUGAUGGGAAUGAAAGGACAAAGUCGCUUAGGAGACGAUUAGAGGAACAUAAACACUGAUGAGUGACCUCAUGGGAUGAUGGCUGAUGUUUUUAGUGUGUUGUCCUGUGUGUGCGUGUGUGUGUGUUCUCUUCGGUGGAGACGUGGGCUGCCACUCCAGGAGGCAGUGAGAUUUGUUAAAAGACAACAAGUUGGCAAGGAAUGUCCCGGGCAGUGUCCUCAGUGAACUGUUACCACCCUACUGGUCAUGCUGGCCAAUCCUGUUACCAUUCCUGCUU